AUGUCAUCAAGGAGGGAGCGAUUCAGUUUAAUAAAAUUGAAAACAGAAAAGAAGAAACGAACAUCAAACUCAGUGAAAUGCAACAGCAACUGCAAUCUUUGCAAGCACGGUAAGUACGCUGCUUCUCACAGAAGAGACAGUGUCAGUCAGAUGUUUGUAACUG